rnacentral:rRNA from 1 species
GACGAACGCUGGCGGCGUGCUUAACACAUGCAAGUCGAACGGUAAGGCCCUUCGGGGUACACGAGUGGCGAACGGGUGAGUAACACGUGGGUGAUCUGCCCUGCACUUCGGGAUAAGCCUGGGAAACUGGGUCUAAUACCGGAUAGGACUCCUGGCUUCAUGGUUGGGGGUGGAAAGCUUUUGCGGUGUGGGAUGGGCCCGCGGCCUAUCAGCUUGUUGGUGGGGUCAUGGCCUACCAAGGCGACGACGGGUAGCCGGCCUGAGAGGGUGACCGGUCACACUGGGACUGAUAUACGGCCCAUACUCCUACGGGAGGCAGCAGUGGGGAAUAUUGCACAAUGGGCGCAAGCCUGAUGCAGCGACGCCGCGUGAGGGAUGACGGCCUUCGGGUUGUAAACCUCUUUUAGUAGGGAAGAAGCGAAAGUGACGGUACCUGCAGAAACAGCACCGGCUAACUACGUGCCAGCCGCCGCCGUAA